rnacentral:rRNA from 1 species
AGUGGCGCACGGGUGAGUUUCUCCCGGAUCAUCUACCUUCUGGUGGGGAAUACCCCCGGGAAACUGGGGACAAUACCGCAUAAGCUCGUAAGAGGAAAGCAGCAAUGCGCCGGAAGAGGAGUCCGCGGCUGAUUAGCUAGAUGGUGAGGUAACGGCCCACCAUGGCGAAGAUCGGUAGCCGGCCUGAGAGGGCACACGGCCACACUGGCACUGAAACACGGGCCAGACUCCUACGGGAGGCAGCAGUGGG